UACGUAGGGCGCAAGCGUUGUCCGGAAUUAUUGGGCGUAAAGAGCUCGUAGGCGGUGUGUCGCGUCGGCCGUGAAAACUUGCAGCUUAACUGUGGGCGUGCGGUCGAUACGGGCAUCACUGGAGUUCGGCAGGGGAGACUGGAAUUCCUGGUGUAGCGGUGAAAUGCGCAGAUAUCAGGAGGAACACCGGUGGCGAAGGCAGGUCUCUGGGCCGAUACUGACGCUGAGGAGCGAAAGCGUGGGGAGCGAACGGG
rnacentral:rRNA from 1 species